GAUGAACGCUAGCGGCAGGCUUAAUACAUGCAAGUCAAGGGGGUAGCAAUACAACCGGCGCACGGGUGAGUAACGCGUACACAACAUACCAUAUACUGGGGUAUAGCUUCGGGAAACUGGAGAUAAUCCCCCAUAACAUUGCGAGAGGGCAUCUGAUUGCAAUUAAAGUUUCGACGGUAUAUGAUUGGUGUGCGUUUGAUUAGCUUGUUGGUAGGGUAACGGCCUACCAAGGCGACGAUCAAUAGCUGGCGUGAGAGCGCGACCAGCCACACUGGAACCUGAGACACGGUCCAGACUCCUACGGGAGGCAGCAGUACGGGAAUAUUGGACAAUGGGCGAAAGCCUGAUCCAGCCAGUGCCGCGUGAUAGAUGAAGGCCCUCUGGGUUGUAAAUAUCGUUUUAUCUUGGGAAGAAACUCCUCUA
rnacentral:rRNA from 1 species